rnacentral:tRNA from 1 species
GAUCUCGUAGCUCAGUCGGUAGAGCAUCCCGAUUUUUUAUCGGGAGAGUUAUGGGUUCGAGUCGAAAGCCAGUGAAAAUCA